CGGAACGUACCCAAGAGUGGGGGAGUAACGUAGCGAAAGUUACGCUAAUACCGCAUACGAUCUAAGGAUGAAAGCAGGGGAUGCGCUUGCGCACCUUGUGCUCCUGGAGCGGCCGAUAUCUGAUUAGCUAGUUGGUAGGGUAAAAGCCUACCAAGGCAUCGAUCAGUAGCUGGUCUGAGAGGACGACCAGCCACACUGGAACUGAGACACGGUCCAG
rnacentral:rRNA from 1 species